rnacentral:lncRNA from 9 species
UCAAAAGAUGACACCAACCAGUCCAUCACUGAUGCAAGCCUAAUGGGUCGAGAGAGGUGCAUUCAGCUAGUAUGAUAAUCUCCCAGCCAUUUUUGUACUUUGAAUAGGAUUAGAAUGUGUAUCAGUCAUAUGGAAGCCUUCACAAAAUGUACCAACAGAUUUAAGUGAUAGUAAACAGACGAUUGGGGUACCAAAUUCUGAGGUCUCUAUGCUGCUUUGAGGGGCCCACUUCCUAGUCUUGAUGCCAUCUUUAGGAACUGGUUUGCUGUGAGAUUUGCUCGGCUUAAGGAUUUACGUACAGUUUAAUGGCAUCAGCUACAUUGUAUUUUGCCUGUUUUACAAGGUGAUGGUUUCUUGUAUUGUUAAAUGUGUAACUGAGCCUCCAACAAAAGAGUAACCCUGGCUAUGGGAAGAUGCAACAAGAGGGAGUAUUUUCCUGGACCAUAACAGACUAGGAAGACAGACGUUUCAGAGACUUUGAGCUACUGUUAAUAACGCCUAGUCCACUAAAAGCCUGUCUGUGAAAUCGUUGCCAGACGUGGGAGUGCGCAUUCCUAGCACCUUGGGGACGAAAUGGUCAUGAACUGCCUCUCAGAGCUCUGGUCGAAUUUAUGACCCCGGGGGAGCCCUGUGAGCUGAAGUUUGGCACCUGCCGUCAGCCUCUUACAUGGAGUAAAACAGGAGCCACUGCAGCUGCAGACCUGUAGCUCCCCCUGAGCAGAGCUCCAGGUGGGACCAGGAGUGGGGAAUCCGAGCUCUAGGAAAAGUGGAAGAACAGGCCUUCAGAGACUCAGAUAUUAUUAGGAGAUGAUUUUAUGUGCCCCAUUCUUGCAUCUCCUAUCUGGAAAAACCCUGAAAUCCUUCAUGGUGAUGUCUGCUCCUUGGGACUGGCAGUGACCUUCAGGAGAUCAGCCACAAACUUCUGUAGAAUGUGUGUGUGCUGCAGGCCCCUCCCCCUCCGCUUGAUCACAUCCUGCUGUUCCCCCUUUUCCUCCCUGGGUGGUAUUUCCGCAGGUCUGUAGCUAAGGAUGAAGAAUGUCCGGGUCAUCUGGGAAUCAGUCACCUCCAGGGGUGAGAGCAGGAGAGCGGGGCGCAGGUUGGGGUGAACACGGACCGGCGCCUCGGAGCCUGUGCGGAGGAAGAGCCCGGACAGCCGGUCCUCCAGCCUCAGCCUCCCGCCGGGCACAUGACCAGUUAAGCGCCUCCUGCUCUGCCAGCCCCUGUCCACUGCGAGAAGAUGCUCCUUCUGCUGGAAGGGAUGGAGCCCAGCAGGAAGGCACCUGGCGGGGAGCCGCAAGGAGCCCGGACAGGUCACAUCCAUCCCGGUCAAGGCUGCGGCCCCCCGGCCCCCAGGGACACGCGCCGAGGCUCCCCGCGGCCGGCGCUGCUCACCCGCAGGGUCUGAAGGGCCAGGGCAGGAAGCGGGGUUGCAACAGCAGCCCAGGGCCUGGCUGGAGGGGCUGGGGUGGCCCUGCCCUCGCCUCCACCCCGUUGGAUCGCUCCCUUCCCACGGGGCGUCUCACCCGUGUCCGCCAGGCGGCCCGUGGGGAGCGCGGUGCUGCGCAGUCUCAGGGAGGGGAGGGCGUGGGAGGAGGACAGCUCCCGGCCCAGUGUCCUCCUCCUCCAACUUGGAAAACGGGAACCUGCUGAUGUCCAUACUCUGCAAUCCACUCAGCUUCCGGUAGGCAUCUCUUAAUCACUUAAUUGAAAUAGUUGAUCUGCAGUGUUGUGCUAGUUUCUGGUGUACAGCAAAGUGAUAAACACAUAUAUAUACAUGCACACACAGAUUCAGUAUCUUGUGAUCACCUGUAAUGGAAAAGAAUCUGAUGCCUUAAAGGUUAUUAUAAGAUACUGUGUGUGUAUAUAUAUUCUUUUUUCUGAUUCUUUUCCAUUAUGGGUGAUGACAAGAUAUUGAAUACAGCUCCAGGUGCUGUACUGUAGGCUCUUGUUGGUUAUCUUUUUUAUGUACAGUAGUUUACUAAUCUCAAACUCCUAAUUCAUCCCUUCCUUCCCCCUUUGGAGACCAUAGGUCUGUUUUUCUGUGACUGUUAGUUCGUCAUAUUUUAGAUUCUACAUAUAAGUGAUGUCAUGUCUUUCACUUAGUAUGAGAAUCUCUAGGUCCAUCCACGUUGCUGCACAUGGCAUGAUUUCAUUCCUUUUUUAUGGCUUAGUAUUCCAUUGUGUACAUGUGCCACAGCUUCCACAUGCAUUCCUCUGUCAAUAGACAUUCAGGUUGUUGCCAGGUCUUGGCUGUAGUGACUAGUGCUGCUGUGAACACUGGGGUGCAUGUAUUUUUUGAAUGGUCGUUUUUUCUGGGUAUAUGCCCAGGAGUGGGAUUGCUGGAUCAUAUGGCAACUCUGUUUAGCUUUUCGAGAAACCUCCACAGUGUUCUCCAUAGUGGUUGUACCAAUUUACAUCCCAACAGGGUGGGGGAGGCCCCCUUUUCUCCACACCCUCUCCAGCAUUUGUUAUAGCUUAAUGAUGGCUAUUCUGACAGGUGGAAGGGGGUACCUUAUUGCUGUUUGGAUUUGCAUUUCUCUGAUAAUCAGGGAUGUUGAGCAUCUUUUUGUGUGCCUGUUGGCCAUCUGUACGUUUCUGGAGAAAUGUCUGCUUAGGUCUUUGGCCCGUUUUUUGAUUGGGUUGUUUGGAAUAUUGAGCUGCAGGAGCUAUUGGUCUAUUUUGGAGGUUAAUCCCAUGUCAGCCUCGUUGUUCACAACUCUUUUCUCCCAAACCAUAGGUUGUCUUUUUGUUUUGUUGUCGGUUUCCUUCGCUGUGCAAAAGCCUGUCAGUUUGAUUGGGUCCCAUUGGUUUAUGUUUGCUUUUAUUUCCAUUACCUUGGGAGACUGACCUAAGAAAACACAUGGUAUGAUUUACAUCAGAAAAUGUUGUGCCUGGGAUCUCAGAGAUAUAUGGCAUAGUGUCUUUAACCCGUUUUGCAAUUAUUUUUGUGCAUGGUGUGAGGGUGUGUUCUGGUUUCAUUGAUUUACGUGUAGCUGUCCAGGUUUCCCAACCCUGGUUGGGAAGAGACUGUCUUUUGCCCCUUUGAUGUUCUUGCCUCCUUUGUGGAAGAUUAAGGGGCCAUGGGUGUGUGCGUUUAUUUCUGGGCUGUUGUUUAAAGAUACAGCAAGACAGCAUUAGAAGUGAAGGAGCUCAGUGUGUGUGGGGGGACAGAGCCCUGUCCCCAAGGACGUCCACACCCUGACCCCCAGACCUUGCGACUCUGUGACGUCCACAGCAGAGGGGACUUGGCAGCUGUGGCCACAUGAAGGACCUUGGCUGGGGAGAUGGCCGGGAUUUUCCAGGUGGUCCAGCGUCAUCACAGAGGUUCCCAUAAGAGGCAGAGGACCGUUUGAUCGCGAGAUGCUGGGCUUUAGGCUCUGGGGAUGGAGGAGGGACCGCACGCUCAGGACUGCUGCCGCCUCCAGAAGCUGGGAGAGGCCGCAGAUUCUCCGCUGGAGCUGCUCCAGGAGGAACCAGCCCUGCGGGCAGCCUGACUUGAGCGCUUUGGCCUUUAAAACACGAAGACAGCACAUCUUCCUUUGAAGCUGCCCGGUCUGUGGUACUUCUUUAGAGGGACCACGAGAGGCUGCGGGAUCCAGGGCUGCGAGGGAGCGGACACCGCAGAAAAGGUAACUCCUUGGGAAGCUCUGAUGACCGGACAGAUGAGCAGAAGCCGAAAGCUCAGGGAGAAAGAUCUACUUUUCCACGAACCGCUUUUCACGAGCGUCCCUAGGAGCCUGCGAACUCUGUGAGGGCAGGACUUAAGGUGCUUUGGGUUCCCUUCCAAAGGGGAGCAUGCCCACCCCUGCCCAACCGGUCCACCUGGCUGGAGCCCCAUGAGAAGCUGCCUGCUGGGGGUGUUGCAGUGUCAGAGGUCAGGUUGCACCCCCACCUCCCCGUGCCCCAACAUCCAGCACCCCGGUUCUGGAACACGUGUGUGGACUCAGAUGCACUGAGGCUGAAUUUGCAGGAACAGAGUUUGGAGCUGGCUAGCAGGGACCAUCUGAGUCCGAAGGUUUUGGGACCCGCCCUCCUGCCUGUCCUCCAGAGCAGCCCGAAGCUGAACUGCUUCCUGCAUCUCUGCAGAGCAGGGAGGUACAGACGAUGCUGGCAGCUCUCCUUCUCCUCUCAUGCCCCUGGACAUCCUCUGUGGUCACCUGCAGGUCUCCUCCAGCCAGCCGGCUGGCUCGCGGUAAGAACCGCCAGAGCACUUGCGAACGUCCAGGCAGUGGCCUCGCCUUGCCAGGGGACUUCAGAUGCCAGCCUCCAGUACCAGGAGGGAGAAAUGCCUCUUGUUGAAGCCGCCCCGUCUGGGGUAUCUGCUUUUGGCAGCUGAGCGGACUCAUACUGGUCUAGACUCACAGUCUGUAACCUCUGGGAGGAGGUCCAGGAAUGGAACCAUCCGAGAUGGACUCUCUAAUAUUUUCUGGGAGGAAUCAAGGGACUCCAAUGCUGGAAGCAAGGCCCCUGGAGGACCUCAGGGUGGUGCUGACAGCCCUUUGUGACUCAGGGACUCACCGGUGUCCGCCCAGGCAGUUCCCCUUUCCGUCGGCCUCAGGGAACUGCUCAGGAGAUCUUCUCAUGAGAGGAAUCCCGACUGCUCCACAGACAGGUGCCAGCGUUCAGACCCUGAGGCUGCCUCUGGCUCCGCAAGUGUGGAUGUGCCCAGGCAGGUCUCAGGACGGAGCCUCGAGAAGCAGGAAAGGCCGUGUGGAUGGAGCCCCUGGGGACGGAGAGGAGGAGGAAGAUGGACUGGGUCGAGCAGAGGAGUCAUCUGAUUCACCGUACAGGACAGCGUCCAGCCUUCACGCCGGGACGUCCUCCAGGGACGCCGUCGGGAGUCACAGGCUUCAGGAAGCAGGGAGGCUGUCAGCCUCCCCUGCCUCCAUGAGGCUGGACGGGAUUGAACGCGACUCAGCAGGAGGCACGUGGACAUCGAGCCCAGGCUGCAGACCCAGAGGCACCGGCCUUCUUACCUUUGCAUCCAGUGGACGAGGAAGGAUCCUGCACAACAGCCUGAUGAAAAAUAGCACCAGCGUUCCGUCAUCCCUCGGGACACACAUCUCAGACCUCCUGAGCGGCCAGUGGGGCGUGUAGAGUGCGUACUGGCUGAGACGCCCGAUGCUCAGGCGACUGGGCACAUGAGAAACGGUCAGAUUUGUCACCGAGAAGAGGCUCCCCGUCGGACACGCACAGAAGCCAACCCACGGCACCAACUUUAGUAAGAGGAAGAGCGUUGCCGUGCGGUCAACCAGCAAGGAGCCCAGAAGCAAGGCUCUCCAACCUGUCUCCUCCAUCCAGAGGCUGGGUGGAGUUCAAGGAGUUGGGGAAGCUGACUGGCUAGUCUUGAGUCAGGCCAUAGAUGCUACCCCUGUGGCUGAAGCCAGAUGCUUCCCAUUGAAAGAGUUCCUGCCUCAUCAAGGGCGGCACUGGCAACUUUUCUGUUCUUUAGGUUCCGCAGACAGAAGAUUCAUGGUUCUGGGGUCGUCCUGGAGAUGUGGGCUUCUGUCUUGAACAGGUACCAGGUUGUCCCUGUAAAAUAACUCAAGAUUUGAUGAGUCAGCAACCUCCUCAAGGUGGCAAAACCAGUUGAAGCGGGUGCCGUUUCAAGGUAAGCAAUCAACAACCCACUGAAGGGGCCAAACCAGCGGAAACUGGUUCAUGAUUCACGUGCUGUUUCAGACCAACUCCUGAAACCACAGCCGAUGUGUCAUGACACACAAAUAAAGUCACUGCAACAUUGUGCUUGAACAUCAGGAAGGUGCAAAGAAAACGGCUCUUGGAUUUGUUCUUCCAUAAAUGGGACCAAGGCUGAGAGGCUCCUGUUAACCCAGACAAGUAAUGACAAAACUGCAAAUCGUCUCUGCAAAUUCAGCAGUGUUUUCCCUGAGCGCACCUCUGUGGGGCCAGCAGUUGAAGCGGUAGAGGAACUGGUUAAAAAUGCAGUGGACCUUCUACACAUAAUAAAUGCUGGGGAGGAGUUCCUGUUGUGGCUCAGUGGAAAUGAACCCAACUAUGAUCCAUGAGGAUACAGGUUCCGUCCCUGGCCCCACUCAGUGAGUUAAGGAUCCAGCACUGCUGUGAGCUGUGGUGUCAGUUGCAGAUGCAGUUCGGAUCUGGUGUUGCUGUGGCUGUGGUUUGUAGCUCCAAUUUGACCCCUGGCCUGGGAACUUCUAUAUGCUGCAGGUGUGGCCCUAAAAAUAAAAAAAAAAAAUACUGGAGAGGGUGUGGAGAAAAGGGAACCCUCCUACACUGUUGGUGGGAACAUAAAUUGGUACAACCACUAUGUAAACCAGUAUGGAGGUUCCUCAAAAAACUACACGUAGAACUACCAUGGGAUCCAGCAAUCCCAUACCUGGGCACACAUCUGGAAGAAACCCUAAUUGGAAAAGAUCCAAGCACCCCUACGUUCAUAGCAGCACUAUUCACAGUAGUCAAGACAUCGAAACCACCUGAAAGUCCAUCGACAGAGGGAUAAAGAAGAUGUGGUCCUUCGCCUCCGAAGGUUAAUCCCUGAGAAAGGGCCGGGGGACGCCUGGGAGGGGGGCUGGGCACCGAGACCUCGCCGCCGAAGGUUAGUCCCCGAGAAAGGGCCGGGGGGGCGCCGCCUG